GACGAACGCUGGCGGCGUGCUUAACACAUGCAAGUCGAACGGAAAGGCCCUGCUCUUGUGGGGUGCUCGAGUGGCGAACGGGUGAGUAACACGUGAGUAACCUGCCCUUGACUUUGGGAUAACUUCAGGAAACUGGGGCUAAUACCGCAUAGGAGCUCCUGCUGCAUGGUGGGGGUUGGAGAGUUUCGGCGGUAGGGGAUGGACUCGCGGCUUAUCAGCUUCUUGGUGGGGUAGUGGCUUACCAAGGCUUUGACGGGUAGCCGGCCUGAGAGGGUGACCAGCCACAUUGGGACUGAGAGAGGGCGCAGACUCCUACGGGAGGCAGCAGGGGGGAAUAUUGCACAGUGGCCGCAAGCCUGAUGCAGCAACGCCGCGUGCGGGAUGACGGCCUACGGGUUAUAAACCGCUUUCGCCUGUGACGAAGCGUGAGUGACGGUAAUGGGUAAAGAAGCACCGGCUAACUACGUG
rnacentral:rRNA from 1 species